rnacentral:rRNA from 1 species
UUCCAUGAAGUCGGAAUUGCUAGUAAUGGCAGGUCAGCAUACUGCCGUGAAUACGUUCCCGGGCCCUUGUACACACCGCCCGUCACACCAUGAGAGUUGGAGAUACCCGAAGCCUAUGAGCUAACUUUUAGAGGCAGUAGUCGAAGGUAGAAUCAAUGAUUGGGGUGAAGUCGUAACAAGGUACC